CUGGAGAGAGGGCUCAAUAGGAGCACUCAGAGGACCUGAGUUUGGCUCCUAACAUCCAUGUGAUGUAACACUCAACCACCAAUUCUAGCUCCCAAGGAAUCUGGCCUCUGUAGGCACUUUCAAACAUGGUUCGCACACACAACAUAAAUUAAAAGUAAAUCUUAACAUUCUUGGCAUGGCCGUGCACACAUUUAAUUUCAGCAGAGGCAGCAGCAGGAGGAUCUCUGGGUUGAGGCCAGCCUGGGCUACUUCAUAGACUCUGUCUCAAAAUGAUUUUGGGAAGCAAUGGCUUUGGUACCAUUAUAAACUACCAUAUACCAAAAGAAGACAAUGCAAACCCAGACUUUUUAAUACAAACGAAACCCACAGGGCUGAGAUGUAGCUCACUGGCAGAGUACUUAGCACACAUAAGGUCCUGAAUUUGAUUUCAAGUAUUGAAAACAGGAAUAAAAAAUACCAGCAUAUGUCUAAACUUAAUAUUUUGGCUUUGCUUUUCUGCCUAACAAAGCAAAUGGGCCUUGGGGGUUGCUCUGCUUGUCCCUGUGGAGAGAGGCUAACUGCUUUUCAUCUCAGCAGGAAGGUUUUAUUUCACCAUGUAGCAGGGAAUUGACAGGGCCAUACUUACCAAAGGAGAUGAACCUAAAAACAACUGGUAAGGAGGUAGUAGUACCUUGGGGAACAUUCCAGUGGUAUAGUAGAUAUGCUCAUCUAAGAGACGGCAAGCUACAUCUUGGCAUCUUAAGCACCUAUCAGAUUUACUGAGUAAUAUGCCAGAACACUAGAAGGAUUCUACCUAAUAGUUAUUGCAGAAGGCUGCUGCAAGUACUCUGCAGCCUAGGUGUGUACCUGGCUAUACCAUAUAGGGUGGUCUAACUAGUUCUCAACAUCUGGGUGGCGACCUUUUUGGGUUUCUCAGAUAACCCUUUCACAGGGUUCCAAGACCAUUGGAAAACAUUUACAUUACGAUUCAUAACAGCAAAAUUACAGUUAUGAAGUAGCAAUGGAAACAGUUUUAUGGUUGGGGGUCAGCACAGCAUGAGGAACUGAAUUAAAGGGAUGCGGCAUUAGGGAGGCUGACAACCACUGGUUUAAGCAAUAUUCAUUGUGCUCACAUAACUGAAACCACUUGAUACAUUUCUUAUAAAGUAUCUUGGUUGGCUUGUUAUUUCAAUUCUGGAGGAAAGCAGGAUGUGGUGACAGUAAUCCUAGCCCUUGGGAGGCAGAGGCAGAAAUUUUGAGUUCUAGGGCAUAUACAUGGAGGAAAAAGCUAGGUGUGUAUUUCAGAAUUGUAGCUGCAAAUUAUUUUGCAGUACCUUCCUCUUUCAUGAAUGCUUUCUAGUGCAGACUUAGUGUCACGAGGGACUGUUAAGAUGUGCUAGGCAUGGGGCUGGAGAGAUGCCUUAGAGGCCAAGAGCACUGACUGCUCUUCCAGAGGACCCAGGUUCAAUUCCCAGCACCACAUGGCAGCUCACAGCUGUCUGUGACUCCAGUUUCAGGGGACCGGACACCCUCACAGAAAUGCACAUAAAUUUUUUUUUUUAAAAAAUGUACUAGGCACACAGGCAAACACCAGAUUGUCAAAGGUUAACAUUAAAAUGAGCAGAGGAAACUGGAGAUGUAGCUCAUUUGGUGGAGUCAAACAUGAGAGAAGCCCCAGUACUGGAGGUAUAGCAGUAAGAUUAGUAUUUCAUUGUCCCCUGCUACAUAAAACCCCAUCUCAAAACAACAAAACCUUUAAAUAGUACUAACUAAGCUGCAGAAUCUAAGAUUAUAUUUAGAUGAUGGCUCUUGCUUGUAGUAUUCAGCAGGCUGAGGCAGGAUUGCCAUUAGUUAGUUCAAGGCCAGCUAGAGUUAUAAGGUAAGUUCCAAACUAGACAAAGCUACAUAUGGAGAGCCUGUCUUUAAAAAAACAAAACAAAACAGCAAAGCCCAGUGUGGUGGCACACACCUUUAAACCCAGUCAAUACUCACAGACCUGGUCUGUAUGUGAGUUCCAGGACAGCUGUUGCUACAUAGACCUUUUCCAUAACAAACCCCCAAAACAAAAGGAUUGUCAAGAUGGCUGCUCAGUGGGUAAGGGUGUUAAGCCUGAUGAUGAGCUUGAUCCUUGGGACCCACAUGGUGGGAGGAGCUACCCACUCCUUCAAGUUGUUCUCUGACCUCCACACAAAUCAAGUGAUUGGGGAAAUGGCUUUUAGUAAAGUGCUUGCCCCACAAGCAUGAGAACCUGAUUGAUUCCUCAACAUUCAUGAAAAAGCUGGUGCCAUAAGACCUGUAAACCCAGUACUUGGGAGGUGGAGGGAGGAGGAUCAAGAGUUCAAGAACAUUUUCAGCUACCUAGUAAACUCUUAUGAGAUCAUGUCUUUAAAAAUGAAGGGGGGUGGGGUGGGGAGAUGGCUACUCAGUUUACAGCAUUGAGUACUAGCUGCUCUUCCAGAAGUCCUGAGUUCAAUUCCCAGCAACCACAUGGUGGCUCACAGCCAGCUAUGGGAUCUGAUGCCGUCUUUUGGCAUAAUGCCAUACAUACAGAAAGAACACUCAAACAGAAAAUAAUUUUGUUUUUUCGAGACAGGGUUUCUCUGUGUAGCUUUGGAGCCUGUCCUGGAACUCUAUAGACCAGGCUGGCCUCGAACUCACAGAGAUCAGCCUGCCUCUGCCUCCCAAGUGUGCCACCACUUGGCUGAAGAUAAAUUUUUAAAAAACAGCUGCUAAAAAUUUAUUUUAAAUUGGUAGAUUUUUUUCAGUGCAAAAACCAUGUGCCUUUACAAUUCAGGUACUUGAGAGGCAGCGGCAGAAAGAUUUCAAGGCUGGAGAGAUGGCUCAGUUAAGAAAGCUCUUGCCCCACUGGCUUGAGGCUGGAGUUUGGGUGUUCAAAGCCCACAAAAGACAAGUGGGCAAGGUGGCUACCUUGACAAGAUGUAUCACUGAGUUCAUCAAGAGACCCUGCCUCAGUAGAAAAAAAAAAAAAGGGCACAUCUUGCCUCCAGACACAUGUGCAUGCCCUACAUGUGUAAACGUGCAUGCACUGACAAAGGACUUAGUGUGUUUCUGUUGUCACUAUGUAGUUCACUUACGAUACUAAACAAAUUCAACUUCAGUCAGGGGAGAGCAGGGUCCUAACAGGAUCUGACAGUUACAGGACAACAAGAGACUGACAGCAGCCAAGUAUGUGCACAGGCCCACAGCACCCACAGGCCAAGUCAUGAUGAGAAUUCAAUGCUAACCUGGGUGAUUUAGUGAGACACUAUCUAGAAAGAAAAAAGGCUGGUGAUAGAGCUUAAUUGAAAAGUUGGGAGAACACUUGGCUAGAAUGCACAAGGCCUUAGGUUCAGUUCCUACUACUUCAAAAACAAAACAACUCUGAUUUCAUGGAAACUGUGUGUGUGUGUGUGUGUGUGUGUGUGUGCGCGCGCGCGUGCGCGCGUGUGCGUGUGUGCACGUGUGCGUGUGUGUGUGUCCGUCCGUCCGAUGGAGACCAGAAGAGGACAUUGAUUCCCUGGGGUGGUAGGAACGAAACUAGUCCUUUGUAAGAACAGCAGCACUCCUAACUGCUGAGCUAUCUCCCCAACUUUGUAC
ensembl:lncRNA